GGCUGGAUGGCCGAGCGGUCUAAGGCGCUAGACUCAAGAACAUUCUUCUUCACCACCAGGUGAGGUGCAUUCUAGUAUCGCAAGAUGCGUGGGUUCGAAUCCCACUCCAGUCA
rfam:Neurospora tetrasperma FGSC 2509 unplaced genomic scaffold NETTE2scaffold_1, whole genome shotgun sequence.